rnacentral:rRNA from 1 species
AAUCAACGCUGGCGGCGCGCUUAACACAUGCAAGUCGCACGAGAAAGGGGGCAACCCUGAGUACAGUGGCGUACGGGUGAGUAACACGUGGAUCAUCUACCUUUUAGUGGGGAAUACCCCUGGGAAACCGGGGACAAUACCGCAUAAGCCUGUAAAGGGAAAGCAGCAAUGCGCUGAAAGAGGAGUCCGCGGCUGAUUAGCUAGUUGGCGGGGUAAUGGCCCACCAAGGCGAAGAUCGGUAGCCGGCCUGAGAGGGCACACGGCCACACUGGCACUGAAAUACGGGCCAGACUCCUACGGGAGGCAGCAGUGGGGAAUCUUGCACAAUGGAGGCAACUCUGAUGCAGCGACGCCGCGUGAGCGAUGAAGCCCUUCGGGGUGUAAAGCUCUUUCGACGGGAACGAUAAUGACGGUACCCGGAGAAGAAGCUGCGGCUAACUACGUGCCAGCCGCCGCCGUAACAC